UGGCACCUCGUGGAGAGAGGUCAGGCUCACACUCAGGCUUCACCAGAGCAAGGGACAACAGAAGCUUCGGAGCGGGCAAAUCCGAGUUCACAGCCCUGCUUCCAGUACUUCCCAGCUGUGUGACCUUGGGAGAAUAGCGCCAACGACCCUCUCCUGAUUUAGUGCGAGAAAACCCGCAAGCAUCUAUUCCGUGCAAUAACAGAGAGGAUAGCCGUCACCAUGGCAACGGACAGCUCGGGAAGACAACCGCCCAGGCUCUCGGACUUCUCCGGGCGCCGAUUUUCCUCAGGAUAUGGCAACGAUUUCCAGGAGGCUCGCACACGACUUGUUUCAAUUAUUCUUCCAAGAACCGCCUUUCAUGAACAGACCUGGCUGGGGAUAGGAACUCAGGGCUCCAGUAAAGUAGAAUUAAAAAAAAAAAAUCAGUUCUCCUGAAAGCAGUCUAACAGCUCUCCCUUUCCCGUAACUGCUGGCCUCCCCCGGUACUGAGAAGGUAGACGGUCUCAUUCCUGUAAGCGAAGUUUUGUGACCCCUGAGGAGCCAUAUGCUCUGUAAACAACUAUGUUCUGUAAACAAGUUUGUGACACUCUGUUCCCAUGUGAUUCAUGAGACACUGCCUGUUUACGAGGCUAAAUUACUAAGCUGUCUGCCCUUGCCCUGUUCCGCUAGACUCACUUACUGUCACUAGGAAGACCAGCCCCCCUUCGACUAAAUGUAUAAAAACUAGCACUUUUCUUUGUUCAAUCGCUCAGUCUUUUGGAGAGGAGUCCAACUGAGCCGAGCUGCACCGAUAAAUACUCCUGACUUCCGUCUGGUCUUUCUGGUCCUUUCGGAAUUCUCCAACGCCAGAGUCACUGCAAAGGACAUGGACAUUCUUAGGAAUACUCUCAGCUUGUUAAUUUAUCCGAGGAAAUUCUUUUGCCUUUAUUUAUUGAUUUUAAAUUUUUAUUUUAUUUUAAGACAGAGCCUCACUAUGUAGCCCAGGCUGGGCUCAAACUUGCGAUCUUCCUGCCUCAGCCUCCGAGUGCUGGAAUUAAAGGCGC
rnacentral:lncRNA from 1 species